UCACCCCUCUGCUCUUCUUACUACCCCCAUCCACGGUCUCCUCUGUAUACCAUCAUUGUGUUUUAUCUUGUGUAGUCUUCUUAUUGUAGUUGUCAUUCUAUAAAGAGCUUUGAGAAGCCACCUUUAGAGGCGCUAUAUAAAAUAAAGUUUACUAUUAUUAUUAUCAGAUGCAUCUUGUGAGAGGAAGGGUGUCCUCUCCUGGGCACUGCCCAGCAGGGCAUCCUGCCCCCCUUCUGAAAGAGGGGGUGCCAGGACGGCAGACAGGAGUGCUGCUGGGGUGUUGUGCUGUCUCGUUUCUGCCAGCCCUGAGCCACUCAGUCCACAGUCUGCCGGGGAGCUACCCUGCAUUCACUGUGCUUCUGUCACCCAGAAACGCAGGGAAGGUUGGGUGCUGUACGAGACUGGGAGGAAGUUUCACUUUUGUUUCUACAUCGGGACUGAGGACAAGCACAGAAAAGAAAAGCAAAGGCGACCCUCCCGCAACAGUCCCAUCUCAGCGUUUUUCUCUCUCCAGCUGAUAACAAAUCGUGAUUUCGGCGUACAGGCCACGAACCGAUGUCAGAAACGAAGAGAAACGCGGAUACGAUCUGCCUACACGACGCCCGGUGGACCACGACUCGUCCCUUCGCUAAAUCACCGGCUCCGACCGACGCCGCUGAACCCGCCCAAGCCCCUUGAGCCAGAACCGUACCUCUUUCUGCGGGGUGGUUAGCCAAGUAACUCCCGAGCGCAGAGCCUGAAACUUUAAGCUACUCGAACCCGUGGUUUCGGUUUCGGUUCACUCGGGUCUGGGUACGAAACCGAAGAACUUCCCGUUCUAGGCCAAGUAGAGGAAGGAGCCUGUAACAGCAGUGUGUGGGUUUCACGAUUAUGACAGAAUUAAAAAGAAAAACUUUUUAUUCGAACAAUAACAACAUAAAAUGCAAUACAAACAAGAGUACCUAUAACAUCACAAAUCGUCAGGGGUACAUAUUACAAUACAGAUAUGAUGAAAAAAGUUUCAGCUGUGAACAAAGAGUCCGCAGCACUUUCACGUUUUUACAUUUCGAAAUAAUCUGCAAAUACGCCUUUACACCUAUUUUCAAAUGUUCAAACGCAGGAAUCUUCCCAGACCGUUUCACUUUGUGUAUUUAAUAACGUGCCAGUAUCAUAAGUAAGUCAAUUACAAACGAUAUGUUUGUAUUUUUUCCAAUGGAAUUGAAAUUUAACAUCACGAGUCUGUUCCUGUGUGUUUUAAACUGACCAGGUUAAGGCGACUAUUAUUCUUAGGGUAUUACUGCUGUACCUAAUACAAAUAAUU